CGCGCGCUCUCCCGGACACUGUGCACAUUUGUGAUUUGGUCUCGCUCUUCCCUCUUCAGGUGUCGCACAGCGGGAGAGAUAUCGCUUCCCUUUGCUUCUCCUUCGUCGUGCUACCGUCAGGUGUCGCGCAGCGGCAGAGAUAUCGCUUCCCUUUGCUUCUCCUUCGUCGUGCUACCAUCAGGUGUCGCGCAGCGUGAGAAAUAUCGCUUUCCCCUGCUCCUUCUUCUUCGUGCUGCCAUCAGGUCUCUCUCUCGACACUUCUGUGAAUGUGAAUAUGAGCGACGAUUAUUGGUUUACGAAUUCUGGGCAUUUCGAUUAUUUCAAGUCUUUUCCCUCAUUUUUGCAAUCGUGUUGUUUCUGAGUGGUCAGUUGCAAUUUUAGAGACUCUUUAUUCUCUUCAGGAACCAAUCUAGUGUAUAGGGCUGGAGUAUACUCUGUUCAAUGUCAGUUGCCUCGUAUUUCGGUGCAGGGUUUUGAUAUUGCUGUAUAUAGGAUUUCCCUCUUCUUUUGUGUACAUAUAUAGGCUGAGGAAGCAGACAUGCCCAGACAAAGAUCCA